UCUUUAAAAUCGAGAUUCGAAUCGCAUAUAAGUAUAUGAAUUGUCUAUGACAAAGUAAAAAGUGUUUGGCAGCUGCCUGCCUCCGUCUCCGCCUCCCCCCAUCGACGCUCCGUGCAAAGCUGGUGUUGGCGGCACUUUAGAGAAUCAGUUGGAAGCGACACCACCGAACGCCACACGCUUAACCGGAAGGAGGCAUGGACACCGCUGCUGCCGCCGCCGCCGCCGUUGUCGUUGACCUGAGCUCCGAGGGCAGCGGCAAAUCAAAGCUCCUGAGCAGCCCCAUCCCCAGCCCCGGUACCACCGGGCCCAGCAUCCCACAUCCCAGCUCCACAUUGAAGCCCAAGCCAGUGACGGGCUACACUCUAGCCGUGGCACCUUCCGCAGCUGCAUGCAGCGAUCAGGAUCAGGCGGGCAGCACCGUGGAGUCCGUAGCGGACACGCCACCGCCAACGCCGCCUUCCAGCACGGACCGCAUCGGUGCGCAACGGUGUCCGGGCAACGAUGUUAUUGGGACUGGGGCUGGGGCUGCUCCCGAGCCCCUCAAUGCCGCUGAUGCCCAUCCAAUGCCUUUGAACGGAGGCCUCCUGUGCAAGGAGGCAAUCACAGCGGCCGCCUCGGAGCAUGGUCAAUCCGGCCCAACAUCAACGUCUUCCGCUAACGCUUCCACAACGCCAAUGUCUGCCUUGCUAACACCAGCUGCAGCUGCACCUGCAACGGUGACCAUAUCCACGGAACAACCAUCUGCAGUAGCGCCUGGCGGGGCAGCUCCAGGAACUCCAGCAACAACCACCACAACGACGACCACAAGUACAAGCCAUGCUCCACCGUUCGAGCUCCGUGCCGAGCACGGGUCCGCUGUUGCAGUGGCAGGACAUGCCCCAGUAUUUGCAGUUCAAUCCGUAUGUGCUCCGUGGCUACCGUCCCCUGCAAACCUUCAAGGGCUGCCUGCUGAGCCUCUUCUACUGGCACAACGAGACCAUCAACAUACUGACACACGCCAUACCCAUCAUCUAUAUACUGGCCAUUGUGCCCGGUCUGAUGCCCUGGGACAGUGGCUACAAGUUUCUGUCGUUCUGCCACGUCUUCGGAUCGGUGGCACCCUGGUGCGGCAGCUUCGUCUACCAUCUGUUCAUGAACAUCGAGAAGGGCGAGAAUGUGUACUAUACACUGCUCAAGCUGGACAUGGUCGGGAUCUGGGUGAGCCAGAGCUUCGGUGCCUUGCCCCUGGUGACGGCCACAACGCUGUGCUUCACGCCCGUCCUCAAGUGGCUAAUCAUCAGCUCCUAUUGCCUGCUCUCGCUGUGGGGCCUCUACAAGGCUCUGACCGCCAGUUCGCCCUGGCAGCGUCGCCUCUGUUUUGCUCUGCCCUUUGGCAUGCGCUCCAUUCUGACCUUUCUGCGGAUCCGGGGAAUGGUCGGCGGCAGUCACAUGGCCCUCUCCCAUGUCUAUCUGCAGGUGCGUAUGUCGAGGCUUUCCAAUUCACUAACAUGCUAUUUUCUAUAACUAAACGUUUUUGGCUGGCCUCUCCCUGUGCGCAUAGGUUGAAGUUGACGGUGUCUCCAUUCUGGGCGGGGCCAUUGGCGCCAUGCGGAUACCGGAGAAGUGGUUCCCCGGCGUGGUCGACUUCUAUCUGAAUUCACACAACAUCAUGCACGUGCUGGUCGUGGUGGCUGUCUACUCCAUGCAUAAGGCCACCAUCAAGGACUUUGAGUGGAUGUCCACGCAGACAUGCAAUAGCUUUGCCAAUGUCACCGAGACGGCGAUCGGCCAUGGGGAACUAUGACCCGUUUACUGGCUGCUGCUGCUACUGCUGCUGCUGCUGCCGUUGCCAUGGAUGCUGUUGACCAGGCCGCGGGCCAGGCGAUCCCAUGCGAUUCACGCCGUACUGGCCCUGGCCUGGAGGAGGAGACGGGCACCGAUCGGAGCCGGGUGAAACCGCUCACUAGAUAGAUGACGCAUACUCGUACAUAGGACAUAAAGACAUAACAUAAAGACAAAAGCGCUACUUGAGUAUAUACCGUGUAUAAUGUUGCAGUAACAAUAUACAUAUGUAUAUCUAGUUAUAGGCCAUACAUAUACAUAUAUAUAUGAACUGUAUAGUACAUAUAGUACAUACUUCGACUGUGGUAUUAAGCAUUAAGGUUAUAUAAAUUACUGAAAUGACAGGAAAUGAGAAGCUGAUUGAAAAGAACUCGAAUGUGCGAAAGUUUCGUGAGAUAAGCCGAUCGUCGACGGAUGAUGAUGGGUAGUAAUAUAUUGUAUGAGUAAUAAUGAUUUGAAUGAUGUUGAUACAUGUGUACCUCAUUGUGCUUACGACAAAAACAUCUAAUUUUCAAAUAUUGUAUGUAUAACUUUGUACCUCGUCGAGAAUUCUUACAAUAAGGACACACACCUAUAAGCUAACCUUCUUCCUAGUUGAUCUUUUUAGAUAUGCAAAUUGUUAAUUUUUGGCAAACGUAACGUGGUAGUCUCUAUAGUGGUAGUCUCUAUAAGGACUCUCUAUUAAUUAAUGCUCCAAUCUGUGCAUAGUUGUGAAAUGGAACCAAACAAAACAAAACAGAACUGGAACCACGACAAAGUUGUUGCUGUUGUGUGCCAGUACCUAUGAGUAAUUAGAUGAAGAGGAUUCCAGGAGUCGAGAUAUCGAGAUAUCGAGGAGUCAGAUGUCGAGUAUUCCAUGUUGGACAAGCGUGAAAGUGAAACAAUGAAAACAAACAAUCUUCUGGCUAUAUCGCUGCUGCAACGAAUCACGUACAUACAUACGUAGUGAAUGCUAAACAUAAAGUAAGAGUACUUAAACUUAAUAUGAUAUUGAGUUGAUAUCAUUUAUGUCAAUUGAUUGCGCAAUAUUAACCUCAAGUAUUUACUGAGCUCCCCGAAUAUACUUAAUAUAUUUAAUAUGAAUUAGUAAAAUUGCAAUAUUUAUUACCCUAGAACCUUAGGCGUGAAUUAGGGAAGGUAUUCUUACAACCAACCAAACAACCAACCAAACAAACAAACAAAAAAUGAAACAAAAAAAAUGUACUAGAUACGAUAGCAAACCAUUCAAAAAAGUCGGUCUACUUUUAAUCCAAAAUGCGAAGCAAAGCGAACAAUUAUGAGUAACAUGUUUUAGUAGUGUCAAUAAUUUACACCACCCUCCAAUGAGAGAGAGAGAACCGAGCAAAUCUAACAAAUGAAACGUAAGCUAACAAACCAAACUAAUUCAACAAAGCAAUAAUUAAUAAUUAAUAGGCAAACUCAAUGCUUUUAAGUUACAAAAGUUGCUACUAGUUUUAAGUAACAAUUAUAAAAAUAUUGUCAAAUGAUUUUCUGAGAAGAGAAGGUUAACAAGUGAAAAUAAUAAACGAUCAAAAAACAAA